UCUACAAUAUAAUCCAAGUUCCAAGCCAAGAACAUGAAAUAGACAUGAAACCCCAAACAAUGUCCGGAUUACUUUUCCUUGCGAUUUCAUACUAAUUCUUUGCAAUCACAGCUCCCAAGCAUAUAAUCUACAAAACAAACACAAAAUGCAUGAAAAGCAACUAAGAAAUAUGAGAUUAAGCAACUAAUUCAAGUAACAAAUAUCGGAUAAGUAGGUAUAAAAUCUACUUAUCAAAUACCCCCAAACUUAAACCUUUGUUUGUCCUCAAGCAAAAACACAAAACAACAAUGCUAUGUAAUGCAACUAAUCUACAUGCCUAUGAACCCAGCAGUAAUGACAGAAACAAGUCUAUUCAAUCGGCCUUAGAGAAAUCAAGUAAACAUGAUAAUACAUCAUAUCAAAACUCAUCAGUAACUUCCCAAUCAAUCAUCAAAUAUUAGAUUGUUAUCACUAAUAUAGUGCGUGUGUGCUCCACAACAAUGUUAACUGAUAUAAAAUCAAAUUUAACUCAUAACAAGUCUCUUCGAAGGCAUCAUCUAGUGUAAACUCAAGAAAUCCAAAAACAAGCUAGAUCCAACUAAAAUUAAAUAAUUACCAAUAUCGAGGGUCAACAUGGGAU
rnacentral:lncRNA from 1 species